rnacentral:rRNA from 1 species
AUUGAACGCUGGCGGCAGGCCUAACACAUGCAAGUCGAGCGGAUGAAGGGAGCUUGCUCCUGGAUUCAGCGGCGGACGGGUGAGUAAUGCCUAGGAAUCUGCCUGGUAGUGUGGGAUAACGUCCGGAAACGGGCGCUAAUACCGCAUACGUCCUGAGGGAGAAAGUGGGGGAUCUUCGGACCUCACGCUCUCAGAUGAGCCUAGGUCGGAUUAGCUAGUUGGUGGGGUAAAGGCCUACCAAGGCGACGAUCCGUAACUGGUCUGAGAGGAUGAUCAGUCACACUGGAACUGAGACACGGUCCAGACUCCUACGGGAGGCAGCAGUGGGGAAUAUUGGACAAAGGGCGAAAGCCUGAUCCAGCCAUGCCGCGUGUGUGAAGAAGGUCUUCGGAUUGUAAAGCACUUUAAGUUGGGAGGAAGGGCAGUAAGUUAAUACCUUGCUGUUUUGACGUUACCAACAGAAUAAGCACCGGCUAACUUCGUG